GACGAACCGUGCGAACGUUGUUCGGAAUCACUGGGCUUAAAGGGCGCGUAGGCGGGCUAUCAAGUCCGGGGUGAAAUCCUCCCGCUCAACGGGAGAACUGCCUCGGAUACUGAUGGUCUCGAGGGGGAUAGGGGCACACGGAACUGUGGGUGGAGCGGUGAAAUGCGUUGAUAUCCAUAGGAACUCCGGUGGCGAAAGCGGUGUGCUGGAUCUCUUCUGACGCUGAGGCGCGAAAGCCAGGGGAGCGAACGGG
rnacentral:rRNA from 1 species